rnacentral:rRNA from 2 species
AACACCCGUUCCCAUCCCGAACACGGAAGUUAAGCUCUCCAGCGCCGAUGGUAGUUGGGGCCAGCGCCCCUGCAAGAGUAGGUCGUCGCUAGGC